GUUGGGGGGCCAUUACCAUGCAAGUCGGACGGCAGCACGGACUUCGGUCUGGUGGCGAGUGGCGAACGGGUGAGUAAUGUAUCGGAACGUGCCUAGUAGCGGGGGAUAACUACGCGAAAGCGUAGCUAAUACCGCAUACGCCCUACGGGGGAAAGCAGGGGAUCGCAAGACCUUGCACUAUUAGAGCGGCCGAUAUCGGAUUAGCUAGUUGGUGGGGUAAUGGCUCACCAAGGCGACGAUCCGUAGCUGGUUUGAGAGGACGACCAGCCACACUGGGACUGAGACACGGCCCAGACUCCUACGGGAGGCAGCAGUGGGGAAUUUUGGACAAUGGGGGAAACCCUGAUCCAGCCAUCCCGCGUGUGCGAUGAAGGCCUUCGGGUUGUAAAGCACUUUUGGCAGGAAAGAAACGUCAUGGGCUAAUACCCCGUGAAACUGACGGUACCUGCAGAAUAAGCACCGGCUAACUACGUGCCAGCAGCCGCGGUAAUACGUAGGGUGCAAGCGUUAAUCGGAAUUACUGGGCGUAAAGCGUGCGCAGGCGGUUCGGAAAGAAAGAUGUGAAAUCCCAGAGCUUAACUUUGGAACUGCAUUUUUAACUACCGAGCUAGAGUGUGUCAGAGGGAGGUGGAAUUCCCGCGUGUAGCAGUGAAAUGCGUAGAUAUGCGGAGGAACACCGAUGGCGAACGCAGCCUCCUCGGGAUAGCCCUGACGCUCAUGC
rnacentral:rRNA from 1 species